CGUUGGCGGUGUGCCUAAUACAUGCAAGUCGAGCGAGAAAGCCGGGGCAACUCGGCGAGUACAGCGGCGGAAGGGUGCGUAAUACAUGGAUAACGUACCCUCUAGUUGGGGAUAACCCUCCGAAAGGUGGGCUAAUACCGAAUAAAGGCAGCGGGUGGCAUCAUCUGCUGCUUAAAGACGCAAGUCGCUAGAGGAGCGGUCCAUGGCCUAUCAGCUAGUUGGCGGGGUAACGGCCCACCAAGGCAAUGACGGGUAGCCGGACUGAGAGGUUGAACGGCCACACUGGGACUGAGACACGGCCCAGACAUCUACGGAUGGCAGCAGUAGGGAAUCUUGCGCAAUGGGCGAAAGCCUGACGCAGCGACACCGCGUGGGGGAUGAAGGCCUUCGGGUUGUAAACCCCUUUCAUGAGGGAAGAACACUGACCUAACCUCAGGAAGAAGCACCGGCUAACUCCGUGCCAGCAGCUGCGGUAAUACGGAGAGUGCAAACGUUGUUCGGAUUCACUGGGCGUAAAGGGCACGUAGGCGGCUCGGCAAAUCAGUCGUGGAAUCCCGUCGCUUACCAGCGGAACGGCGGCUGAAAAUACCGGGCUUGAGGGCUUGAGGGGUCACUGGAACUCCCGGUGAAGCGGUGAAAUGCGUAGAUAUCGGGAGGAACGCCGGAGGCGAAAGCGAGUGACUGGCGAGUUCCUGACGCUGAGGUGCGAAAGCUAGGGGAGCAAACAGGAUUAGAUACCCUGGUAGUCCUAGCCGUAAACGAUGGACACUGAGUGAAGGAGGGCUUGCCCUUCUUUGCUGCAGCUAACGCGUUAAGUGUCCCGCCUGGGGAGUACGGCCGCAAGGUUAAAACUCAAA
rnacentral:rRNA from 1 species